GGUGUGAAGACUAUCAACACUGCAUUCUGAAAACUGGGAUGUUUGACAAGGACCCGAUCGAUCUAAAAUACUGCUGUCAUCAUCAAGCUCGUUGAUAUCAUGAAACUAAUUGGCAGCUAAAUCUACUGUAUAUCAAUAAUGCGUUUGACUAGCCAUCCUAGCCUCAUUUGUAUCAUUUAGUAUUUUUAAAUUAAUGAUAGAAAAUAUGAAUCGGCAGCUGUAGAAAUUCAUUUUUUAGAGAUCUUAAUCUAAUCUGUAAUCUACAAUUUAGUUUGACCUUUUUAGCCACAUCUUGACAGUGUAGCUGAAAGACACAGCAUACACACAGAAUUGUUCAAUCAGCUUUAUUAUUUUAAAGACGGGGUAAGCUCAAUAAGCAAAGGAAGUUUGUAUUGAUCUUGUGAAAAUUGAUAACCUGUAGUUUUAAAGCUUUUGCAUUAAUACAAAGUAGUUGGAUUUUUCGACUUCUGGUGUUUUGUUUUUAAAUUUCAUUUUUGUGUUAUGGCCAUAAAACAAUCAGGCACAAAUAUAAGAGAGGUUUCUGUAUUACAAAAACAAGAAAGCUAACGCGAGUGGAAAAAAACAAAACAACAUGAAAUGUUAUAGAAGGCACAAAUAUGACACAAAUAAAACUUUUCCAGAACAAG